rnacentral:rRNA from 1 species
UGGGGAAUAUUGCACAAUGGGCGGAAGCCUGAUGCAGCAACGCCGCGUGAGGGAUGACGGCCUUCGGGUUGUAAACCUCUUUUAGCAGGGAAGAAGCGAGAGUGACGGUACCUGCAGAAAAAGCGCCGGCUAACUGCGUGCCAGCAGCCGCGGUAAUACGUAGGGCGCAAGCGUUAUCCGGAAUUAUUGGACGUAAAGAGCUCGUAGGCGGUUUGUCGCGUCUGCUGUGAAAUCCCGAGGCUCAACCUCGGGCCUGCAGUGGGUACGGGCAGACUAGAGUGCGGUAGGGGAGAUUGGAAUUCCUGGUGUAGCGGUGGAAUGCGCAGAUAUCAGGAGGAACACCGAUGGCGAAGGCAGAUCUCUGGGCCGUAACUGACGCUGAGGAGCGAAAGGGUGGGGAGCAAACAGGCUUAGAUACCCUGGUAGUCCACCCCGUAAACGUUGGGAACUAGUUGUGGGGACCAUUCCACGGUUUCCGUGACGCAGCUAACGCAUUAAGUUCCCCGCCUGGGGAGUACGGCCGCAAGGCU